rnacentral:misc_RNA from 1 species
UUUCCGUAGGUGAACCUGCGGAAGGAUCAUUACAGAGUUCAUGCCCUCACGGGUAGAUCUCCCACCCUUGAAUAUUUAUACCUUAGUUGCUUUGGCAGGCCGUGGAAACACCAUGGGCUCCGGCUUAUGCGUGCCUGCCAGAGGAAACAAACUCUGUUUUUAGUGAUGUCUGAGUACUAUAUAAUAGUUAGAACUUUCAACAACGGAUCUCUUGGUUCUG